UAGAGACCGGCGCACGGGUGCGUAACGCGUAUGCAAUCUACCUUUUACAGGGGAAUAGCCCAGAGAAAUUUGGAUUAAUGCCCCAUAGUAUAUAUCAUUCGCAUGUUUGAUAUAUUAAAGUUCCAACGGUAAAAGAUGAGCAUGCGUCCCAUUAGUUAGUUGGUAAGGUAACGGCUUACCAAGACAAUGAUGGGUAGGGGUCCUGAGAGGGAGAUCCCCCACACUGGUACUGAGACACGGACCAGACUCC
rnacentral:rRNA from 1 species